rnacentral:rRNA from 1 species
UGAGGAGCGAAAGCGUGGGGAGCGAACAGGAUUAGAUACCCUGGUAGUCCACGCCGUAAACGAUGAGUGCUAGGUGUUAGACCCUUUCCGGGGUUUAGUGCCGCAGCUAACGCAUUAAGCACUCCGCCUGGGGAGUACGACCGCAAGGUUGAAACUCAAAGGAAUUGACGGGGGCCCGCACAAGCGGUGGAGCAUGUGGUUUAAUUCGAAGCAACGCGAAGAACCUUACCAAGUCUUGACAUACUGUGAGGACACAAGAGAUUGUGUUGUUCUGACCUUUGGUUAGACACAGAUACAGGUGGUGCAUGGUUGUCGUCAGCUCGUGUCGUGAGAUGUUGGGUUAAGUCCCGCAACGAGCGCAACCCUUGUCAUUAGUUGCCACCAUUCAGUUGGGCACUCUAAUGAGACUGCCGGUGACAAACCGGAGGAAGGUGGGGAUGACGUCAAGUCCUCAUGGCCCUUAUGACCAGGGCUUCACACGUCAUACAAUGGUCGGUACAGAGGGUAGCCAAGCCGCGAGGUGGAGCCAAUCUCACAAAACCGAUCGUAGUCCGGAUUGCACUCUGCAACUCGAGUGCAUGAAGUCGGAAUCGCUAGUAAUCGCAGGUCAGCAUACUGCGGUGAAUACGUUCCCGGGUCUUGUACACACCGCCCGUCACACCAUGGGAGUGGGGGAUACCAGAAGUAGGUAGGGUAACCGCAAGGAGCCCGCUUACCACGGUAUGCUUCAUGACUGGGGUGAAGUCGUAACAAGGUAGCCGUAGGGGAACCUGCGGCUG